CUACUUUGGAAAAAUCACUGAUCUCGGAAGCUAAGCAAAGUCUGGCCUGGUUAGUCCUCGGAUGGGAGACCACCUAGGAAGACCAGGU
rnacentral:rRNA from 1 species